rnacentral:rRNA from 1 species
GACGAACGCUGGCGGCGUGCUUAACACAUGCAAGUCGAACGGAAAGGCCCUGCUUUUGUGGGGUGCUCGAGUGGCGAAAGGGUGAGUAACACGUGAGUAUCCUGCCCUUGACUUUGGGAUAACUUCAGGAAACUGGGGAUAAUACCGGAUAGGAGCUCCUGCUGCAUGGUGGGGGUUGGAAAGUUUCGGCGGUUGGGGAUGGACUCGCGGCUUAUCAGCGUGUUGGUGGGGUAGUGGAUUACCAAGGCUUGGACGGGUAGCCGGCCUGCGAGGGUGACCGGCCACAUUGGGACUGAGGUACGGGCCAGAGUGCUACGGGAGGCAGCAGUGGGGAAUAUUGCACAAUGGGCGGAAGCCGGAUACAGCAACGCCGCGUGCGGGAUGACGGCCUUCGGGUUAGAAACCGUUUUCGCCUGUGACGAAGCGUGAGUGACGGUAAUGGGUAAAGAAGCACCGGCUAACUACGUG